rnacentral:lncRNA from 1 species
AAUACAUUAAAAUUGAAGAAUGGAUAAGGUGGGAUUGGCAUUCUCAAAUUGGCUUUUGAGAUUUACAUCGUUACUUUACUGGUUGGAAUAGGACCCGAUUGCAAGGAACAAAUGCUGACUCAGCAAUUAGACCUUUCAAUCUGUUACAUGAAAUGAGACCAUCUAAGUCAAAGUCUAAAAUUAUGUUUGUCCCCAUAUACCUAGUUUCUUUGAAGUGAAAUUUGGAAAGGAAGCAAAACAAAUUUUGCAUUAUAUUAUUUUGCAUUAUUUUGCACUGUAUUUCUCCUGUGUUUUCUGCAAAGUGAAUACUGUAUACAAAUAAAUAUACUUGUAAUCCAUACAGGGUUAAUAGUAUACAAAGAAGGAGAAUGUCUGAAGGACAAAUAAUAUCCUCAUCAGUGGGAGCCCAUAAAUUGGAAUAUACUCCGAAUGGACAAAAAAUCGUCUUGUUCUUUCUGCUGAUGCUGGGAUCCGAACACAAGUGAGAGGGAAAACUAGACUCCUCAGUACCAGUAGUCUUCCUACAAAGACCACAGCUACCUUCCAGCAGACUGUUUGCCACCUAGUCGUCUGUGGCUAUCUUGCUGCACGCUACCUGGUUAAAAAUGCUUUGCAGCAAGUUUUCAGUGCCUCUCUCCCUUUUUUCACCUCAUUAUAAAAUUCAGCAACUUGAUCUGCUCUUGGUCAUGUACCUUCUGGCAUCAGUAUGAGACCUUGCAACAUGAUGUGUGUUAAGAACGCCACUUCUGUACUUGAUUAGCUCUAAUUUUCCGAGGUUACCUUUAAUACACUUUGCAGUCAAUGCCAUGUUUUCUGUGCAAUUUAUUUACUGUUUGUUUAUGGUUUCAAUAAAAGCAGAAGAAACACAACCA